GAUGAACGCUGGCGGCGUGCCUAAUACAUGCAAGUCGAGCGAACAGACGAGGAGCUUGCUCCUCUGACGUUAGCGGCGGACGGGUGAGUAACACGUGGAUAACCUACCUAUAAGACUGGGAUAACUUCGGGAAACCGGAGCUAAUACCGGAUAAUAUAUUGAACCGCAUGGUUCAAUGGUGAAAGACGGCGUUGCUGUCACUUAUAGAUGGAUCCGCGCCGCAUUAGCUAGUUGGUCAGGUAACGGCUUACCAAGGCAACGAUGCGUAGCCGACCGGAGAGGGGGAUAGGCCACAUGGGAACGGAGACACGGUCCAGACUACUAAGGGAGGCAGCAGUAGGGAAUCGUCCGCAAUGGGCGAAAGUUUGACGGAGCAACGGCGCGUGAGUGAUGAAGGUGUUCGGAUCGUAAAACUCUGUUAUGAGGGAAGAACAAAUGUGUAAGUAACUAUGCCCGUCUUGACGGUACCUAAUCAGAAAGCCACGGCUAACUACGUG
rnacentral:rRNA from 1 species